ensembl:misc_RNA Y_RNA Y RNA
GGCUGGGCUGGGUGCAGUGGUGUUUACAACUAAUUGAUCACAACCAGUUACAGAUUCUUUCCUUCCUUUCCCAUUCCUACUGCUUCACUUCACUAGCCUUAA